AGCCCCGGCACCUUUACGGUGCGUCUCUAAAUUUGCACUUUAG
rnacentral:tRNA from 1 species